GAGAGAGAGAGACAACAAGCAGGGGAGGAGCAGAGAGAGAGGUGAGAGAACCCCAAGUAGGCUCUGCAUUGUCAACACAGAGCCCACUGUGGGGCUCGAACUCAUGAGCUUGAGGUCAGGACGUGAGCUGAAAUCAAGAGUCGGAUACUUGACCGACUGAGCCACCCGGGCACCCCUAGACCCCUUAUUUUAAAAUGAGGUGGGUACAAACAAUAUUUAUUCAGUUAAAAACCACUUUUUGUCUAGUAAGAGAAAUGAAUUCACGACAGAUUAAAAUAAUGUGGAACCUGAAAAGUGCCUUGAAAGGUAUUCAGAGUGUCUUCCGACACUGGACGUACACAAACCCUAUGUCCCUGGGGUCCUGCUCCCAGUUCCUUAUGCAGCAGAAAUGCAUUCACAGGUUCACCAAAAGCCAUGGACCAGAAUGUUCACCGCAGCACUGGAAAGUGGCCAAAUGCCCAUCAACAGUACAAUGAAGAAAUGAGCUGUGAUAUAUUCACAUGACGUGAUACGAUACAGCAAUGACAAUGAACAAUACAGCGAGUCCCACAGACAAUGCCGAUGAACAAAUGAAGGAAGCCAUUUGCAAGAGUACGCUUGGAUUCCAUUCAGAUGAAUAGAAACAGAGUAAACUAAGCCAUACAGGUAGAAUUUUUCAACACUGACCUGUGCAAAUUCACGUUCUUUUCUCAAUGUACGUCGUCCUGAAAGGUGUUAAAAAAUGGCACAUAAAGUGGCUUUAGCAGGAAAAGAAGUUGAAUCUGAUUUAGAAGAAAGAGAAGUGGCAUCAGGAAGCUUUCCAGAGAAUGACGCUGUUCAGUGGAAGGAGCAGGAGUUUGGGGAGGGAUGGCAAAUCCUACCCUGUGGCGUUGCCGGGGACAUGAGGAACACUGUGUAAAGUGCCAAGCACAUGCCGGGGCCCACGGAGGCCGGAUUGAUGACGGCUGUUCCCAUCGAUGGACCAGCUGAUGUUCCAGCUGAUGUUCCCGCAGAGCCAUGAAAAACGCCUGGGAUUCAGACACGCGGGGAGUGACAGCGGCGCGACGUUAACAAAACCAAACACGGCUUUGAGAGAUGGUUGGGCUCGGGGCAGGGCAGGUGUGUGUGGGGAGGCACCGCCACCAUGGACUUUGCCUGUCCCGUGCCUUACCCCCUGGGCCUGGGCUUGGCCUACAGCAGGCACUCGUUAGUAUUUGUCUGGAUCGAACAAGCAGUUGAAAGAAUGAGGAAGGAACAAUGGAAGGGAAUGGGAGUUUGGGACCCUGUGGUGGACACUUGGGCAUGGCGGGCUGAUAAGUUCUACUUAACUUCUACACAUGAAGCAUUACAAGCAGGAGGUGGUCUGAAACCGUUAAAGGCAGAGGGCUCGCCCCAGAGUGGCACUCGUCAGUGGUGGCCGGAACAGUCCCACCCCGUUACCUGCCCACGUGAGGGAAAUGCAGACACAGACAAAACAGCCUGAAAGGUGAGCAGCGGUUUGACAGACCGGUCAAGCUUUAUCUUUUUGAAUCUGAUUUAAAAUAAUGGGCUCGCACUUUGUACUUUUUGCUUCGUACAAAAUCUCUAAUGAAACUAAUGUCACUGUACAAGUCCUCGUUGGAUUGCGAUGUAGGAACAAGAACGGGGCUUCGCCCCCAGGUAGUUGGGAAAGAGCACUGAACCAGAGGCUGAACGUGAGAGGCUGUUCUCCGGUCCCCACCAGUCUGGCUGGGAAGUCCCGUGUGCUUAGCAAGCUGGGAGCCCCCUGCCUGCCCGAGGCUCCCCUGUUCUGACGCACCAGCAGAUGAGAACACCCCGGUCAUAGCCCUGGGCGGGACUCCAUGGAUGGUUGAUUUCACUCUCCCAGACCUGACUCUGCCUGCUGGUAACUGACAACCCCUGUGUGUGCAAACAGGGGAGCCGCUGGGGAGCCUGCUGUGUAUCCCACUGAACAUGUGCCUGAAGAGGGGCAUUGACUCGGCGACCGUCUUUCCACGAGAAGGGGUUCCGGUCAGCAGGGAGCCCCUCAUUCCUCUGCUAAGUGCUGUUUCCCAAACUCUGAUCAUCUGAACACACUGGAGACGAAGGAGGGGUCAUUGCUCCUCACCAGAGUUGGGGAACAGUUUGUAGCAGUCUCCUCUUCCUGGGGUUCCCUUUGUGAGCAUACAUGAUUAAAAUAAAAUUCAGUAAAAAAACAACAACAACAACAACAACAACAACAACAAAAAAAAAACCCAAGAUGCUUUGUCCAGACCCUUUCUGGUUGCACGUGAGAGAAAACCAAACCCCAAAUGAUGUAAAAGGGAAUUCAAUCAUGUAAUUGAAAACUCCAGAGUCACAAUCGUUAUAUCUUGUCACAAUCAUUUUUUCAAAUACAAAAGUCCUAGGUCACAAUCUUCUGUGAAUGUAGAAAGGAUGAUACCCAGAGCCCUGGAGGAUGAGGCACUCUGGAUCUCCUAGACAGUUUAAAGUUUUACCUGCCCUAGUAGACGUUGAUUGCUCCCUUCACCCGGCACCUCACUCCCUCUCUCAUGGGAACAUUUACUCCCACCUCCCACUUCCCGUUUGCUCAUCCUGCUCCCAUUUUGUCUCCUGACUUUAUCCCACGCUGCAGGAGUAGGCGUGUGGUCCAAGGUUGGCCAAUCAGAACAUUGUGCAAACUUCUGGCCACAGGGAUUGGGUCCACGCUGGGCAUGUGACCCAAACCAAGCUAAUCAGGUCAAGCUGGAGUUAAUCUUGCCUGCUGGCUUGUGUGGUCAGAGCAGAGAAUGGUCUCCUUUUCACCAGAGUUUGAGGUGUUGGCAGCCAUCUUGCCACCAUGAGGGCAGAGCUGGUCUGAGAGGAACACCAUCAGAGGAGGAAACAACAGGGGAUAGAAGCCAGAUCAUGAUGCCAUAGAUCCUACCUCUGGAUCCACUUGUGUCUGAAGCAAGGAUAGCUCUGGAUUAGCAAAUACUGCUCAUAAGCUUUUUUUUGCACCAUUUGAGACUGGGUUUUUGUCACAUGCAGCCAAAAGAGUCUUGAGCGGGCACCUCAAUUUUAUAUUUUAAUUACUUUUCUGUCAUUUCCACCUUAAAUAAAGGAUGCUCAACAUAAUUCAGCCUGUCUUUACGACUUGGACGUGUUGCUAUUGUACAGAUGUGCCUAAGGAGCUGCUGGGGCGGGUCAGACAUUAUCUGCUGAGCUUGUGAGAUUUCUGGCUUUUCUGUUUUUCUUAUCUCUGCCCUGCCUCACAGCUGUUAAGGAGCAGACUCUGGCUUCAUCUCAGAUUUGUUGCUUCUAGUCUGCAGUGAGAUUGGAAAGCAGUUAGCCAAAAUUUUGGGAUCUGGCAUUAAAUGAAAGUAAACGCCUUUAAUGUGGAUUUGGAGGCUCUAGUGGGGACGGGUUGCAAGGGCUUUGUGACAUUUUGGCUGCCCCCGAGGAUUUUUUUAUUUUUUAUUUUUUUGGUGUUUGCUGUUUGUUUCUGCUUGGUUCUGGAUGGAUGAGGUUUCCUGAUUUUUCUGUUAGUUGAGACUUUCACUGUAACAAGAUUUUCACACUAAAGGAGUGUGCACUGUGAGCAAAUGAGCUAGGGUUGAAAUGUCUUAUAACUUAGCCAAGUUACUGAGUUUGCUUCAAAGAAGAAACAGCAGCCGACAGCAGUAUUCUGAACCCCAGGCUGACCUUUAAGUUGUUUUGCUUCUUUUCUAAAAUAGCCCCUUUAUUUUCAACCUCUAAUCACAUACACUGACUUGCAAGGGGAGGAAAAAAACCCAAGCAUGCUUGUAUCAGAGGGAGCGGUCCACUUAAGGCAGAUGUGGAAUCAAUUUGGGCAAAUGUGAGUUGCCAGCUUCUGAACUUUUCUGCUAAGUAUAUUCGCCCUGGAAUACAUCAGAGCCACUUAAGCCUCGUAAAUGUGUUGCUGGAAUAUUGGGUAAACGUGUGUAAGGGGGCAUUCAGCUUGCUGCCCUGGCUGAGUUGAGUGAAAACCCAAAGGGGCACAUUCUUCUCUGAGAAACUCAAAUGAAGACAGUUGUGUCUGGGAAAAAAUAUAACUGAGGUCUGGUUUUGAGAUUACUAGGAAAAUGGAAGCUCUGGUGAUUUAUCUUGCAGAAUGAGCAAAAUCUGCCUUCUACAAUGGCUAUUUUUUAUGUUUAUUUGUGCUCCCACUUGAUGUGGACUCCCAUCAGAGAUAUAAUAUACCGAGCGCGAAACUGUUAUUUAGUUUUUGUCAUCAAAAGAGCAGGACUCCGUUUCUGCUGGUCCCUGCUUUUUGAAAGUUGGUCUGUGGCUUUGGGGGACAAGUUAGGCAGGCGCCUGGGAAUCUCAGAAGGGUCGCUCUUGUUGCUUCGCUCACUAAACACGUGACUCCUCGGUUCAUUUGAGCUCUCCACUAACUUUGCACCAGCUUUCCAUGGGUUUCAGUGAUGAAGACAGUGGUUGUGGUGAGUGUCGGUGAACUUGGCCCAGCCUGUCCCCAAGGCCUUGGCCUCCAGGAUAUGCUUCCAGGAAAGGAAUCGGAAGACACGUAAGGGCAGUUGAUUCUCUAGUGUCUAGAAUGCCUAAUACAAUUACACGAGCAUGGUAGGUGUAAUGGGUUGAAUCGUGUCCACUCAGAAUUCAUUAUGUCGAAAUCUUAACUUCCAGCAUCUCCGAAUGUGACUGUAUUUGGAGAUGGGGUCUGAGAGAGAGAGAAUUAAGGUAACUUGAGGACAUCAGGGCCGGUCCUAAUCCAGUAUAACUGGUGUCCUUUAUAAGCAGAGGAGAGAAAGACACUGACAGACUCACACAAGUCACAGGAAGACACAGGAAGAAGAUGGCCAUCUAUGAGCCAAGGAGAGAGGCCCCAGGAGAAAUGAGCGUAUCAAUAACCUUGAUCUUGGACUUCUGUGAGAAAAUCAGUUUCGGUUGUUGAAGCCACCCAGGCUGUGGUACUUUGUUAUGGCGGCCCUGGCAAACUAAUACAGAUCAUGGCCUUAGCUGGAGGGUGAACUUCUUCCAAGGCUCACAACCCUGCCUGCUUUCCCAGAUUACUCAUCCACAUGGCCCUCCAUCCCUACGGAUCUACUCCUGUCCCUCGACAUGCCCCUGAUGCCUUCCUGCCCCUCCCCAUCCCUCUGCCCACCUUCAGUCCUUGUGGAAACUUGUCCUUCAGUUUCCACUGAAACUGAUCCUUCGAGGACCUUCAGGCCUUGUCACCUAUGCAAAUACCACAGUUAUUUCCAGACCUGUUUAAAGUUUGUCCCCACCCCCCGCCAAGGCUUCCUUGGUCUUAGCCUCCUAACAUGACUGUCAGCUUCUAUCCUUGUCCCCUGUGGUAGACAGACCCUAAGAUGGCCCUGUGGACCCCAUCUCCCCUGAGUGUGCGUGGGACUUGUAGGUAUAUGUGGUGGACGUCAUGCCCAUGAUUAGGUUACUGAUCAGAUGCCUUUCAAGGGUGUCUUGGUUGGUCCUUACCUACUAUGGUGGGCCCUUUCGAGGGACUGGGUCCUUCCUGAAGGAUGAGAUUUGAAGUGUAAGAGAUUCCCCUUCUGGCCUUGAAGAAGCAAACAGCCAUGUUGCUAACUGAGGAGGGGAGCACACGGCAAGGACUUGAGAGUGGCCUCCAGGACAAGAGCCUUUCGCAGCCAACCGCUGGCGGGAGAAUGGGAUCUUGGUUCUGCAGCCACAAGGAUAUGGACUCUGCCACCAAAAGCAGCGGGCCUGGGAGAGGACCUGGAGCUUCAGAUGAGAUCAUAGCGCCAAACGACACCUUGCUUUCGGCCUGGUGGGACCCUGAGCAGAGGACCCAGCUCGCCCACACCCAGGCUACUGACCCAGGAAACUGGCACGAUACGCUUGUGUGGUUUUAAGCUGCUGGCAGGGUAGUGGUUUUGCGGUUAAUAGUUCUGCGGCCAAAGAACGGAUGCACGCUACUUGCUGUCACGCGCCAGCCAGGGUGGCCCUGUUAGAAUGCAAGCAGAUGGCCCUCCUUCACUCAGAAAUGUCUCCUGUUGGCCUGGUGAUGCAAGCCCAAGGCCCAGGACGUCUUCCAUGAUCUGACCUCCAACCACCCCUGACCGCGUCCCUCUUACUUUCUCUCCUGUUCCCUUCUGCUCCAGGCACGGUGGCCCCCUCACUACUCCAGGAAUGCAUCGGGCCUGCUCGCGUUUCCACCGCCUUUGGUCUCUCCAUCUUGAAUCCUCUCCCCCCGUAUUCCCUCAUGGCUCCUCCCAUCACCUCCUUCAAAUCUGUUCUCAGGAGGCUCCCCUCAUCUCUACAUUUAAAGCCACAACCUCUUGGGGCACCUGGGUGGCUCAGUCGGCUAAGUGUCCGACUUCAGCUCAGGUCACGAUCUCACAGUUCGUGGGUUCGAGCCCCGCAUCGGGCUCUGUGCUGACCGCUCAGAGCCUGGAGCCUGUUUCAGAUUCUGUGUCUCCCUCUCUCUCUGACCCUCCCCCAUUCAUGCUCUAUCUCUCUCUGUCUCAAAAAUAAAUAAACGUUAAAAAAAAAAUUAAAAAAAAAAAAAUAAAGCCACAACCUCUCAGGGCACGUGGGUGGCUCAGUUGGUUAAAUGUCCAACCUCGGCUCAGGUCAUGAUCUCAUGGUUCGACUUCGAGCCCUGUGCAGAGCCUGCUUGGGAUUCUCUCUCUCCCUCUCUCUCUUCCCACCGCCCCCCCCCCACUCUCUUUCUCUCAAAAUAAAUAAAUUAAUUAAAAAAAAAUAAGACCAAAACCUCUCCUCACAGAACCUGACACCGUCCCCCCCCCAGGCCCCUUCACCCUCCUCCAGCACCGUAUAGUUUACAUAUUUAUUGUGAAUAUUAUCCUGUAACACUAGGUAUAAUUCAUGUAUUUGUCAUAUAUUAUGUGUUUCCUUCUCCUGUUGGCAUUUAAACCCCACAAAAGCAGGA